GAAUUUUGGCCAAUGGGGGCAACCCUGAUCCAGCCAUCCCGCGUGUGCGAUGAAGGCCUCCGGGUUGUAAAGCACUUUUGGCAGGGAAGAAAAGGCUCUGGCUACUACCUGGAGCUGCUGACGGUACCUGCAGAACAAGCCCCGGCUACAUACGCCCCAGCAGCCGCGGGAACACGGAGGGUGCAAGCGUUAAUCGGAAUUGCGGGGCGUAAAGCGUGCGCAGGCGGUUCGACAAGAAGGAUGUGAAAUCCCAGGGCUUCACCUUGGAUCUGCAUUCUUAACUGCCGGGCUAGAGUAUGUCAGAGUGGGGUAGAAUUCCGCGUGUAGCGGUGAAAUGCGUAGAGAUGCGGAGGAAUACCGAUGGCAGAGGCAGCCCCCUGUGAUAAUACUGACGCUCAUGCACGAAAGCGUGGGGAGCAAAC
rnacentral:rRNA from 1 species